GGCAUUUUUUCCAUUACUGCUAAUAGGAUUAGAAAAGUGAUGAAUUGUCCCUGGAGGUUUUGAUGUCUCCAAAUAAAGACAAUCCGCAGGCAGCACUUGCAGGCAGCUGUUGCUGUUUCUGGUGCAGGUUUUGGCUGGCAGAGCUGUUUGAUUUUCAGCACCCAGAGCUCCACUCCCUUUUUCCCAGGCUGAGCCAUCCAGGUUUGCCAGCCCUCCUGGAUUCAGCAGUUGCUUUGCAGGAGCUGGGCUGCAGGAGGCACAAAACUGGGGUGCAUCUCCACUUCUAAUAAAAAGGAAAAAAUAAAACAGGAAGGAGGAUAGUCACAGGUUUCUUAGUCUCAAAUGCUUUUUAAGCUGCUCAAGCUGUUUGGGUCAGUGACACCUGUCCAGGGAAUACUUGCAGCUUUUCAUACUGCUCUGAACACCUGGAGGAAGGAGAAGGAAGUAAAAAUUUGAUCCACUGAUAACUACUCUGCUGCCCUGCUAAGAACCUGCUGCUCUGGCCUUGCUUCCUGGCAAAGAGUGACCUGAAGUGAUCCUACUGAGCAAAUUUCCAGGAUCAGAGUCCUCAGAUUGGCAUUCUGGACCUAACCCCAGUGGCUGGCUCUUUCCAGAGGCAGGACUUUGGGCACAAAUGGCACAGACAGGGAAGUUACAGUGGCAUCAGUGUCCCAAGCAGGUCUGUGGACAUCUGCCCCAUGGCUUGGGAUCACUUUGUGGUGGGAGUGCCCUCUCUCCCAUCAGCAGAGGAUUUCUGGCACUGAGAUGUCCCAGGGCAGCUGCUGGAUCACACCUGAGGAUUCCUGCUGAGCUCCUGCUGGGGAAGAGCUGGCACAGACAGGAAAGAAGGCUGCUUUUAAGCUACUUCUUGAAAAAAAGAACAAAACCUCAAAAAAACCUCAAAAACUGGAGGCCAGAUGCACACCUGAGGAUACUGAGCACAAUUGCAUUAAUGGAAGCAGAGCCAUUACCCAGCUGAAGGCUCUGCUCAAACAUCCAUUCUGCUUUGACUUCAGUGGAGUUUGAAGACAAGAACAUGAGGAAACUGCAUUUCACCCUUGCAGAACAGGUGAAGCAAAGCUUCUCUUUUUAUGCACAAAAAUAGAAUUAAAGAUCAUAUAUAAUUAAAACUGGAGAUGUAAAUUCCUCAGGGUUUUUUAUGAGUAUCAAAUAGUGGCACUAAUAAAAUCCCAUUUUUUAAGGUUAUAAUUCACCAGUAGCACGGAAAGAAAAAUUAGAAUUUAGGUCUUUGUUAUGCUGAAUCAUUUCAAGCUUUCUGACUGCUGUGAGGAUGUUGUGGAAUGUUAGAGAAAAAUCAGCUUAAUGCUCAUGCAUAAUGUGUGAGAAGUUUUUUGUUUGCUAUAAUUUCUAUUCUUUCAUACUAAUUGUCAUCAGCAGAGGAUGCAGGCAGUAGUUGUCUUGCUAAAGAUAAAUACAAAUAUAGCUACAGUAUUUUUCAUUCAAUUUAUUCAUUUAUUUCACCUUGGGUGUAUACACCAUGUAAAAUUUAUCUCCAAAGAAAGAUAAAGAGAAUAUUUCAGUGUGUGUGCACUGUAGAAAUGAGAGGUGUGGAAUGUAUGAGUGCUUUUUAUUUUUAUUGAGAGACAAAAUAUAAGACUGAUUGCCAGCUCUUUCUGCCACAGAUUUUGGUUAUGUCUUCAUGCUCCAGAUGUUUAUGGAGGUGUGUAGAAAUAUAUUCUCCAAAAUAGUCAGAAGUGACUUGACUUAAAUAUUAAUUAUUUUACUAUUUCAAUCAGUAUAAGUAUUAUCUAUAAAAAAAGUUCAACACAAAUGCAUCAUAAUAAAGCUCUGUUAUACCUAUAUAUCACUGUAACAUUUUAUGUACCUAAGUUCAUAAUGAGUUUAAAAGUUUGAUUGCACCAUCCUGAACUACCCCAUUGCAAUGAAUAA